rnacentral:rRNA from 1 species
AACGAACGCUGGCGGCAGGCCUAACACAUGCAAGUCGAGCGCCCUUUCGGGGGAGCGGCGGACGGGUGAGUAACGCGUGGGAAUAUGCCCUUCUCUACGGAAUAGCCUCGGGAAACUGAGAGUAAUACCGUAUACGCCCUUUGGUGGAAAGAUUUAUCGGGGAAGGAUUAGCCCGCGUUGGAUUAGGUAGUUGGUUGGGUAAUGGCCUACCAAGCCGACGAUCCAUAGCUGGUUUGAGAGGAUGAUCAGCCACACUGGGACUGAGACACGGCCCAGACUCCUACGGGAGGCAGCAGUGGGGAAUCUUAGACAAUGGGGGCAACCCUGAUCUAGCCAUGACGCGUGAGUGAUGAAGGCCUUAGGGUUGUAAAGCUCUUUCAGCUGGGAAGAUAAUGACGGUACCAGCAGAAGAAGCCCCGGCUAACUCCGUG